GACCUGGUUUGGCACCUGUUUCCCAACUUGAUCGAGAAGAGAUUGUAAAAGAGUCUUUCGAAUCUUUGAUUGUUGUUAUUUGGUCUUUAAUUAACAACCUUUUGGGUCACCAUGAUCGAGAAGGGGAGUUGGAAGUUUACAACUGCUGCGCUGCAAAAAAUGAGAACGGAGAAGUGCAGGAGUGUAGCGCACCUUCCCUUUAACACAGACGCUCCAAAGCCUUCGGUUUCAACUUCAGGGUGAGAGGAAGAGCAGAAACCCGAGAUUCGCGGUAACGUAGCUAUUGAAAAGGAUACAAUGUAAUCCAAUAGCCAGAUAUUUCUUCUUUUCAAGGUAACAUCUGAGAUUUUGUUGCAUCUGUCCAUUUUAAUUACAUGAGAACAAAUAUACUAAUGAUCGGUAAGUGACAAAAAUGCUAAUUUUUAUUUUACCAUUUUAGAAUGUGUGUCUUGCACGGCGCACCUCCUUCAAAAUUUCAAUUGGUAAGGAUUUACCAUUCUAGAUCAAUAUGUUGCUCAACUACAACAAUAACUUGCAUUUCACAUAUCUUCAAAAGUAGCCCUCUUUAUAAUUCUUUAUAUUAACUUCAGUUAAUGUAGCUUUUUGCAAGUUGAGAAAUGAAAUUUCUGGUCUAUUGGGUCUGAUUUCAUCAAGAGUGGGAUAAUGUAUUCACAUCUCCAGUACAUAUUAGCCAAUGUGUUAUAGCUAUUUAUCUUGAUCGAAAGCUACCUAACAUUUAUUGGUGAUGUUAAGCAUGAAUCUGGUUUAUUGAUUGAGGUGAAAACAUAUCUAUUUCGAUGGAAUUGAUGUAACACGCUCUGUAGAUAAAUUUAUGCCUAUUAAGUCGUGUAGGCAAUUGAUGUAAAAACCAUUAACGCCACAUUUCAGAAUCUUCCAGUGAAGGGAAGACAAUAACUCGUGUAUCUAGAACCUAUAAAAUUUUCCAAGCAAAUGUUUUAUCCCUAGUAAGUCGGGUGAUGAUGAUCCUGUCCUAUUAUUAAAUGACCAUAAAUUUGGCCAUUUAAAUUUAGAGUCUCAUAUUUAAGUUAAAACUGCUAAGCCUUUCUUGUAUCGAGACCUUGUAACCCCAUCCCUAUCUUUCACUUGGCAUUGUGCCGUUUGCGAUCUAUCACAGCAUUUGCAGUCUAUCACGACACUCUCUUUCACUUGUCGUGCAACCAUUAGUCCUCCGAAAAACCUGCAUCAGCAAGUGUGUAGUAUAGAAUUGCUGAAUAGAAGAUAUCCUCUCUCUCUCUCUCUCUCUCUCAAACUUCUUGAUACUUUAAUCGUGAUUUUCGAAACAAAAAGUUGUGGAUAUGGUGAUGUGGGAUAUUAUUUGAAAUAUGGAGUUGUUGUCUUGCUCUAGUUGAUCGGUUAUGCUUUGAUUCUUUGUUGCAGUUUGGUGAUCAUGAUCUUGCGUUGUUUGCUGCUCUAAUUUGAUUUUGAUUUUGAUU